rnacentral:lncRNA from 1 species
CAGGACUUAUGAAUUUCUUUGAUGAAUUUUUACCUUUUUUAUACGAUUCAAAUCCCAUCUACCAAUUUGUAUUUAAGUGAUGUUACUUUACAUGUGUGUUGAUACUCAGCAUCCUCCUCUACACAGACACACUGGCUGCCCUACUCCAGAAGGAGCUGUUUCUAAUUUAGUUCAUCUUUCUACCCUGACAACACGCAGGAGAGUCUGGAUCAUAUCAGUCAGUGAGUGCUUGAAUCAUUUGCUUCAUGAAAUUAAGGAAAGAAGAGAUAGAGGAAGGCUGAAGGCACAUUGUUCAAGUGAGGCUUCCUCUGUACCAAAGUAAAUACAAGGUAAUAAAUACCUUUAUGUCUAAACUGUCUUAAUUUUUUGCUCUAUUAAUCUGUUGAUCUUA